AGGCUUAUCUCCCCCAAGAGUCCACAUCGACGGGGAGGUUUGGCACCUCGAUGUCGGCUCAUCACAUCCUGGGGCUGUAGUAGGUCCCAAGGGUUGGGCUGUUCGCCCAUUAAAGUGGUACGCGAGCUGGGUUCAGAACGUCGUGAGACAGUUCGGUCCCUAUCCGUCGCAGGCGUAGGAAAUUUGAGAAGACCUGUCCUUAGUACGAGAGGACCGGGAUGGACGUACCUCUGGUGUACCAGUUGUCCUGCCAAGGGCAUGGCUGGGUAGCUAUGUACGGAAUGGAUAAGCGCUGAAAGCAUCUAAGCGCGAAGUCAACUUCAAGAUAAGAUUUCCCACCGCAAGGGUAAGACCCCAGAAAGACUAUCUGGUUGAUAGGUCGAAGGUGUAAGUGCAGCAAUGUAUUUAGCUUAUCGAUACUAAUAGGUCGAGGACUUGACCAAU
rnacentral:rRNA from 1 species